rnacentral:rRNA from 1 species
GAUGAACGCUGGCGGCGUGCCUAAUACAUGCAAGUCGAGCGAACAGACGAGGAGCUUGCUCCUCUGACGUUAGCGGCGGACGGGUGAGUAACACGUGGAUAACCUACCUAUAAGACUGGGAUAACUUCGGGAAACCGGAGCUAAUACCGGAUAAUAUAUUGAACCGCAUGGUUCAAUAGUGAAAGACGGUUUUGCUGUCACUUAUAGAUGGAUCCGCGCCGCAUUAGCUAGUUGGUAAGGUAACGGCUUACCAAGGCGACGAUGCGUAGCCGACCUGAGAGGGUGAUCGGCCACCCUGGAACUGAGACACGGUCCAGACGCCUACGGGAGGCAGCAGUAGGGAAUCUUCCGCAAUGGGCGAAAGCCUGACGGAGCAACGCCGCGUGAGUGAUGAAGGUCUUCGGAUCGUAAAACUCUGUUAUUAGGGAAGAACAAAUGUGUAAGUAACUAUGCACGUCUUGACGGUACCUAAUCAGAAAGCCACGGCUAACUACGUG